CUGGCCUGGAGGUCGCGGCGAGGUCAGCAGCUGAUAGCGAAGUGUCUGAUGCAGCCCCCCGGGUGGAGGCGGGUAACUUUAAAGGAUGAAAUGACGAGGUGACCAGGCCCCGCAGCGGUUCCUCCCGCAGUGCGGUCGGGGCUUGGUUUUGUCCGGGUUCCUGGAGCGGCGCCCCCACCUUGCUUCUGCUGUGCAGCGGCAGGGCGGGGCAUGCUGGUGCAGGCCCACGUGGGGCAGUUUCUUUCAGUCCGAGUUGUCAGGAUAGGCGACUUGCAGGUACUAUACCCCCCACCACCCCCCGAACAAAACAUGUUUUGUUAUUUUUGAAUUUGUGAACAUUUAAAGAGUUGACAGUUUUACCUCGAACACCUGUGUGGGCACAUCAGCAGGAUUCUACAGUGAACACAUGUUGCUACAUUGGCUCCAUUUGCGACAUCCAUCCCGUCAUCUUUCCGUUUAUCCCACAUUCAUCCAUCCCUCCACCCACUAAUCCCCCAUCCACGUUUGAAAGAUGAAGAAAAUGUUGAUAAUGAUGAAGAAGGAAGCUCCGGAGAAGGGAGAGGGAGUUAAGGUGGGAAAGCUCGAGGCGUCGCGGGUCGCCUUGGAGACGAGUGUGCUGUGCCUGCAGUGGUGGGUCUGUAACUAAGUAGCCAGAGAGAAAGGGUGAAAGGACUUCUCCAUUGUUGACGGGCUUACACUUGAUCCUGUUGGAAGGAGGUUCUGUUUGAAGCGGCAUAACGGAGGCAGUUUGUGUGGAGCUCUCGCUGAUCCCAGCGCUGGCACUGCAGUAGCAUUUAAUCCUCACUGUUCUCUGAGUAGGUGGUCUCAUUACCCCCAUUUUAUGUAUGAGCAAACUGAGGUACUGAGAGCAAGCGAAUUGUCCCAGGUGUGAGGGCCUUGCAGUGAGAGCGAGUCAAACAAGGAGUCUAAUUAAUCCAAGGAGAUUGGCUACAGCGGUGGUUCUUAAAGAGUGGUCCCUGACCAUUGGGAACGUUUUAGAAAUGCAAAUUCUCAGGUGUUUGAGAACCACUGCUCUGAAGCCGGAGCUCUUCAACACAGAGCUGUGUGGAAUAGAGGAGGUAUACCAGGCAGGUAAGCCAUAUAGGAGGUCUUGGCAAUGGCCCAGAGGUGACAGCUCAACAAAGGUGUGGGUUUGGGUGGUUCAGGCCUGGGAGGUGACAGUGUGCCUUGAAACUUCAAAAACAGCAAAGGCAACGCCUCUUGGAGAAUCAGUUUUAACUGAAAAUCUGGGAAGGGACAGCACUGUUUUAUGUGAAGAUGAGUUGAGUAGAGGGAUGGUUAUCCUCUGAUAACCAUCGUUCUGUUAUCUAUAUCUGUGAUAUUCUGACUUUUAUUUCAUUUAGCGUAAUAUUCUCAAGAGUUCAUCUAGGUUGUCACAAAUGGCAGUAUUUCAUUUCUUUAAGAGGAAUAGUAUUCCAUUUUACAAAAUUUAUUGCUCUAGUGAAGUAAUUUGAUCAUUAAGUCUAUUAUUAAUAUAAUAAAUGUCUUCUAAUUGGUUUUUAAUGAAAAAGUUCAUUGUUAUAAAUAAGCAUGAGAUGUGCAAUAAGACAUUAGAUUUCAAAGACUCAUUCAGCUUAAUAUGGCCUUUCAUUGUACGUCACUAAAGGAGCUCCUCUUCCUUCCCAUUUUCUCCUCUUUCUCACUUUGAUUAGGGCACUUGGGUAGAGAACUCUGAGAAUCACAGGAGUAGGUGUUGCAGCAAGAACUGAAAGAAGCAGUGGAUGUAGAAACAUUAGAAUUAACUUAACAAAUAGUUUAUCCUUAGAAAAUUAUCUGCAUACCUACUUAUGGAACCAUACUAGUGAAUGAAACAGGAUAAAAUACUAUCUUUAGGGAAUUUACAUUUUAGAGGGGAAAACAAAAUAAGAAAAUACAUGCAGAACUUAGUGUUCAGUACUAAGGAGAUAUGAGAGCAGUAAAGGGAAAUAGGAGGUGAGUGAGGAUUCAACUUUAGGUAGCAUGUUAGGGAAGGUGUCACUGAGAAAUACCUAGGGGAGAGGCGGUGAGUCACGUGAAUGUUAGGGUCAGGGGAACUUGCAGGCAGAGAGAAUAGUAAGUGCACAGAUACGUUUCAGACAGAAGGGGUCCAGUGUGGCUAGAGCAGAGUGAGUGGGAGGGUGAGGGGACGCGGUCACAGUCAAAGGGCUACAUCUUGGAGAGGCCAUCAUAGGAUUUGGGAUUCUCUGUCAAGUGCACUGAGAUACCAGGUGGAGAACUCAGGUAGGCAGCUGGGCAUGCAAGUCUCAAGUUUAGAUUUGGGCUAAAGAUAGAAAUUUGGGGGGUUAACACUCUGUAGAUGGUAUUGAAACCAGGAGGCUAGUGAUGUAAGUGCUGGAGUGAGUGUAGAUAGAAAAAGGAGGCUCAGGGAUGGUGCCCUAGGGCAUCAAGUGUUAAGAGAGCAGACCUAGUGGCCCAGUGCGGUGGGAGGAAAACCUGACGGUGGGAUCGUAGAAGCUGAGCAAGGGGAGUACUUCAGGUGGAGGGAGUGGGGGACUAUGUCAAGAGCUGCUGAUGGCUAACUGUGAAGUAGGUUUGUACACUUCUUCCAGAGGGAGUGGGGAAUUGCAGGAGCAGGGUCCCGGGAAGUGCGAGGUAAUGGGGUCUGCUUAACAGAACUCUAAGCAUGGUCACAGGAGAACAAGUAGAGUAAGAGUUCAGCGGAGGGAACUUGCUGAAGCUUUUUUCUUGCUGUUGUAUUUUCUUUGUGAAAUAGGAAGCAGCUGAGAUCCAGGAGGGGGUGGCCUGUUCGAGAGUUGAGGCAAGAGGAGAGAAUGUGUUAGAGCAAGUGAUUCUCCAGGUGCAUAGUGGAGUUUUCCAGAUGUGUGAUCUUACAACAGCAAGUAUAACAGACAGAUAUGAGAAUCCUGUCUUCUAUUAGGCCAGACAUUAAAAAGAUCUGUAAAAUUGUUAAAACAGUGCCAUUCUUAUCACGACCUUUUAUUUUUUUCAAAUACAUUACACAACUUUAUGGUAGGUCUGGGGAAAUGCAUUAUUGAUAAUAAAUGGUGCAAUAAUAAUUUAUCUUUAGCAAUAUAAUUAUAUAUGAAGAAUGUAAGUGUGGAUACUCCCAAAGCAACACCAUCCUAGUCCCUAGAGUUUGGCUGAUUGUACUUGCCUUCACACUGCUAGUUCAGGUAACACCACAACUGAACAUCACUUUCUUCCUACUUUACAGUUCUCGGUGUUAAUGAUAUUGGCAAGUUCAUA